AUGCCCUGAACGCGAUAUCGAGGAUCUGCCCAUAUAAAGAUAGAGGUUAU
rnacentral:rRNA from 1 species